UGGGGAAUUUUGGACAAUGGGGGCAACCCUGAUCCAGCAAUGCCGCGUGAGUGAAGAAGGCCUUCGGGUUGUAAAGCUCUUUUGUCAGGGAAGAAACGGGAGUGGCUAAUAUCUGCUUCUAAUGACGGUACCUGAAGAAUAAGCACCGGCAAUCAUCG
rnacentral:rRNA from 1 species